UACAGAGGUGGCAAGCGUUGUUCGGAAUUACUGGGCGUAAAGGGCGCGUAGGCGGCGGGUCAAGUCGAGUGUGAAAGCCCCGGGCUCAACCUGGGAUGUGCGCUCGAGACUGGUCUGCUAGAGUUCGGGAGAGGAGCGUGGAAUUCCCAGUGUAGAGGUGAAAUUCGUAGAUAUUGGGAAGAACACCGGUGGCGAAGGCGGCGCUCUGGACCGAGACUGACGCUGAGGCGCGAAAGCGUGGGGAGCGAACAGG
rnacentral:rRNA from 1 species